rnacentral:rRNA from 1 species
UAGGGAAUCUUCCACAAUGGACGAAAGUCUGAUGGAGCAACGCCGCGUGAGUGAAGAAGGGUUUCGGCUCGUAAAACUCUGUUGUUAAAGAAGAACAUAUCUAAGAGUAACUGUUCAGGUAUUGACGGUAUUUAACCAGAAAGCCACGGCUAACUACGUGCCAG